rnacentral:SRP_RNA from 1 species
GCUGAGCUCGGUAGCGUGAGCUUGUAACCCAAGCGGGAGCAUCAAAGUGGUCGGACAUUGGCCCGGUUCCAACAGGUAGGAUCAGACGGAGUAAUUUAUUGGCACGCCCGUUCCAAGUAGGGAGUUGAGCUAUGUGGCUUGAGCGAAGGCUGAGGCUUCUUGGUUCUUAGAGCGGAGGGCACCGCGUCAGGCUGGCUUCACAGAGCAGCGACCACCUCCCGCUCUCGUCGGUGGAAGGAUAACGAGUCGGUGCUCCACUGAUCCAUUAUUGCCCUAGGAAUUGCGCCCAAUCGGACAACCACUUUU